UCAAUCUAUUUAUUUUUAUUUUCUUUCUGUGAAACUUUGUAAGCAAAUUCUACUCAUCCUUAGCUUUGUAAUGGCAUAAGGCAUGCCUGAUUUGAAGUUGUGACAAAUUUUUGGCGAGUUUUCAAGAUAGCAGGGGUCUAUUGCCUUAGCAGUGUAGGAGCAUUAGCUCAAAAAAUCUAUAACUCGGUGAUCUCUGACUCAAAUUUGAUGUGAAUUUUUUAAAUGAAUGCACUCUAAAGUUAAGUUUACUAAUAAAUUUAAAUCACUAAUCCCCGAUCUAUAUCAAAUUUUUAAUGAAUUUUUAAAUGCAAAGGGAUCUGCUGCCUCGGCAGUGUUGAACAAUCAUCUUUGAAAAAAUUUAUCUUAAUACUUACUUACAUUUUUUUUCUGAAAUUUGUUGGAAAAAUAACUCUACUAAGUUUUAUUUUAGGAAAAAUUAUAUUUGUCAAUUUUAAACUAUUAAUUGAUUUUUAGUGAAUUUUUAAGUAGAACGGGGUCUGCUGCCUAGGCAGCUCAAGUCGCCUUGCUUUGAAAACACACAUCUCAAAUUUCAUACCUCGGACCACCAUGAAAUUUGGUAGAUAGGAGCAAUUCUAUAUCAACCUCAACCACAAAAAAAUUCAAGU
rnacentral:lncRNA from 1 species